UUAACUAUUAUAUAGUACUCAGACGACACUUAAUUCAGAAUUUAGGGUUCUCUGGCGGGCGCACAUCAGCCGAAGCCGAUAGCCCGAAGGCGGCCCGCCAAAGCAACAAAGGUAUGUAUAACAAAGGGUGGGAGGUCUACCCCGAAGGGCAUGAACUCUGUAAUGAUCCUUCCGCAGGUUCACCUACGGAAA
rnacentral:misc_RNA from 1 species